UUUCGCAAUGGGCGAAAGCCUGACGGAGCAAUACCGCGUGAGGGAGGAAGGCUCUUGGGUUGUAAACCUCUUUUCUCAGGGAAGAAAAAAAUGACGGUACCUGAGGAAUAAGCAUCGGCUAACUCCGUGCCAGCAGCCGCGGUAAUACGGAGGAUGCAAGCGUUAUCCGGAAUGAUUGGGCGUAAAGGGUCCGCAGGUGGCUAUGUAAGUCUGCUGUUAAAGAAUGAGGCUUAACCUCAUCAGAGCGGUGGAAACUACACAGCUAGAGUGCGUUCGGGGUAGAGGGAAUUCCUGGUGUAGCGGUGAAAUGCGUAGAUAUCAGGAAGAACACCAGUGGCGAAAGCGCUCUACUAGGCCGCAACUGACACUGAGGGACGAAAGCUAGGGGAGCGAAAGGGAUUAGAUA
rnacentral:rRNA from 1 species